ensembl:lncRNA
UGGUUUCUGACUCAUGAAUGCUCCUACAGGUUGAAAUAUUUGGUACUUGAAAACUGCAGUCAUAUUUGUGAUGUUACAGUUUGUAUUACAAGUAAAACAUUACUGACCUCUAAUCUUUGCCACACAUAAAAGCAGCAUUAGAGCUUUCUGGAUUAGAGGGCAGUGCUAAGGAAAGAGAAUUGAGCCUAAGCGCUAAGUCUGGCUGUGUCCUUAAGCCACCUUAAGAGAUGUUUUUUUGAGCAUUUACUUCUAGUUAAAUUUUAACAUGCUUUCUUUUGUCUCCACAGAUUCAUUUUUAAUUUUAUUUCAUUAUAUGCAUUUUUGUAAGCCACUUAAAUAACUUGGAACAAUAUAGAGAGUUUUUAACAAUUACAACGUACUUAGUGAAAUAAACUGAAAUGAUUCAACUAGAAAUCACUUAAAGUCACCUCUAUUAAUGUUUAAGGAACUGAAACUGGUAAUACAGCUUCUUUAUCUCAAAUGUGAUCUUCAAAAAUUUAUUUUAAAUCUUCAAAACUAAAGAACACUAUCAAAGUAUAAUUACAGGUAAAGGUCAGAAGGAAGUCUUCGUGUUCCCAGCCUUCUACAAAUAUCUGGAUAUUUGAAUAAUGGAUGUAUUUUCCUUUGUUUUUUAAGCAAAGCAAGUCUGGUUUUAAUGAUUUUUGGCUUGUGUCACUGAAGGUUCACUUACUGGAACUCAUCUAAGGCUUCCCGUCUAUGAGAAAGUACCCGACUCCUCAACUGAGAAGCAACGAAGUGCUGACAUGGUAGAGUGUGCGGAUGAAAGAAGGGCCUUCAAAAUACUGGCGAAGGCCUGUCAUCCUCGCUUCCAACAAAGGAGGUGGGAAACUGGACUUGGAGCUUUCCUGAGCUGCACUUUUUCUCUACUAAAGAGUGAUGCAUUUUUCUGCCUGGACCCAACUGAUACAUUUCAGCCAAACCAAACUAGUUGAUACGGAGUGUUCAGUGAAUAUAUAUUGAGUUCUAUGCAUGCCAGCUACUCUGCCAGAUACAGUGAGUUUUUCACCUUUUAUGUCAUUGUUCAUAUGGUUAACUCCACCUAAAAUAUUCCUUGCUUCCUUCCCACCUAACAAAAAACUUGACCUUUCAAGCUUAUAAGAAGCCAGUAUUCUGAGCAUCUACUCUGGGAAAGGCAUGCUGCUGGGGGUACGCCCCAGGCAUCACAGAACUGACAGUCUACAUUUCUUCAUAAAAUGUUUUAUCAGAUUUUCUCUACUGAUGUGUACACUCUUAAAAUUCCCAUUUGACUGCUUUAAAAAAAAAUGUAUUUAACAAACACCUGUGUAGCACUUACUACUAGGCACUGUUCUAAAAACUUAUAAAUACAGCUGGUUUUUAUGUAACCGUUCAUGUAUCUAAGUAUGAAACAUUAUAUAUGUACAGAACAAUGUAGGUAACCUUAGGUAAACCUAUACCUAUGUAGUAGGUGCUACGAUUACCCUCAUUUUAUAAGUGAAGAAAUGGAGGCACAGAGAGGUCAAGUAACCUAAGGUCACAGAGCUAGUAAGUAGAACUCACGCUCUUAUUUUAACCUUGCACUGUGGCUGUCUGCAUUCCUGUUUCCACAUCACCAGCAAAAACUGCUGAACUUUUUCCCUUCCUUUACCAGUUACAGAACACAUGCUUUUUAGCUGGGAAUGUGGCUACCUGGAAAAAAAAAGCUAUGGUUCUCACCUUUCCAUGGGAUGUGAAUGAAAGCAGUAUGUGCAACUUCUGGGAAGUGUCCCUCAGAGAAGGGUGAGCUUGAAGUGGGGUUCUCUUUCUUCUCCCCACUAACUAGUAUGUUGACCUGAUGGCAGGGGAGGAGCUUUUAGAACAUCAGGAAAACUGCGUUUUAAGGUGAAAGAAUAAAAAAGAGCUUGGAUCUCUCA